UUACAGGGAAACUAUAUGGUAUGUACAUGAGUAUGAAUGGAGGUAUAAGUGAUAAAUAGUAUAAAGAAAAGAAGUAGAUCGACGUGUAAUACAGUAUUACACACGAUAUCAUCGAAAUGUUCGAUGACGGAAAAGGCACACUACUCCGAGAAGCAGAUACAGAAAGAGAUGAAGGAUGUACCAAGAUUGCAACAACAAGGUUCUGCCAAGUCAGAGAAAGAAAUAUUGUUUCUCUUCAAGAACAAGUCGAUCAGCAAUAAAAAAAAGUCGCGGCGCGGAGAAGAAUAUAUAGAUAACGAAGAAGAACAUUGAUAUCGAGAAGAAGUACGUGGCAGAAUCGAGAGAAAAGAUUUUGAAGAUUACGGAGGAUAUGAAAUAGAAAAAAAGAG